UACGGGGGGAGCAAGCGUUGUUCGGAUUUACUGGGCGUAAAGGGCGCGUAGGCGGCGCAACAAGUCACUUGUGAAAUCUCCGGGCUUAACCCGGAGCGGUCAAGUGAUACUGUCGUGCUAGAGUGCGGAAGGGGCUACUGGAAUUCUCGGUGUAGCGGUGAAAUGCGUAGAUAUUAGGAGGAAUACCAGUGGCGAAGGCGACUUUCUGGACUUAUACUGACGCUGAUGCACGGAAAAG
rnacentral:rRNA from 1 species